rnacentral:rRNA from 1 species
UACGUAGGUGGCGAGCGUUGUCCGGAAUCACUGGGCGUAAAGCGCGCGCAGGCGGCGAUCUACGUCUGGGGUGAAAGCCCGGAGCUCAACUCCGGGACUGCCUUGGAUACGGGAUCGCUUGAGGAUCGGAGAGGCAAGGGGAAUUCCACGUGUAGCGGUGAAAUGCGUAGAGAUGUGGAGGAGCACCUGUGGCGAAGGCGCCUUGCUGGCCGAUUUCUGACGCUGAGGCGCGAAAGCGUGGGGAGCAAACAGG